GCAUUGGUGGUUCAGUGGUAGAAUUCUUGUCUUCCAUAUAGGAGGCCCGGGUUCAAUUCCUGGCCAAUGCA